AUGGGUCUGGUAUCGCUGUCGAGACUGUACCAAGGCCCACUGAUCAUUGAGACUGACAACAAAAUGAUUGCAAAUGAAUUGGGACAAGCCAGAUCAAACCGAUCGGAAUGUUUCUGGGUUGUCAGUGAGAUAAAAAACACAAGCCGGAUCUUCAGUUCAGUUCAGGCUAAGGCCAUCAAAAGGGAACAAAACUGUCUAGCAAAUGACCUCGCUGCUAGAGCUAGACGGCAUGAGGACUCACUGAUAAUUGCGGACGUGCCCAAGGAGCUUCGUUCGCUGAUGCUAUCUGAAUAUACCAAGUGA
rnacentral:rRNA from 1 species